GGGACAUUUGUCACAGUCGACGCACCUGCGUCAAUACGUGGUCAUCGCCCAAAGCCCGUGCCGCAUGUCAGGGCUCACUCCGGGUGUCGUGUGUUCCUUGGGUUUGGGUAAACGGACGGUGGCACGCAUCCAUUGUCACAACGUCACAUGGAGAAGUUUCGCUGCCCUGAGAACCCUUGGGGCUCCCGUGUUCAUCCCCUCCCCCCGCCCACCAUAGGCCUCUUACCAUCUCUGCGCUUUGCUUUCCUCAGAAGGUUAUGGAGCUGGAAUCGUCUGGGCUGGGCCUUUUCAUGGGCUUCUUUGCACCUGAAGGUUCCUCCUGUCUCCUCAGGCCUUGGCUGCUCACUUCUCUUCAGUGCCGAGUAAUAUUCCGGUUGUCUGGAUGGACUGCAGUCCGUCCACCUACUCACCUGCCGAGGAGCACGCUGGUUGCUUCCCAGUUUAGUUAGUUACGGAGAAAACUGCUGUCAACAUGCGUGUGCAAGUUUUCAUACAGACGUGUUUCCAAUCCCUGAGGAAUCCUGCAUUUAUGGCCCUAAUUAAACCCACGGCUAAAGAUGUGUCGAAAUAACACAAUGCAACAGUUGGCAGUAGCCUUAACGAUCACAGAGGACCCACAAACCCAGCUUUGUUGAUUCUUUGGCAGCCAAAAUGGAUGGCGGGUGAAGAGGGAGUCUCUGCCGAGCAUCCUCCUGACGAGGACUGGGGGGCCUGGUCUGAGGCCCUGAGCGCAGAGUCUUCUUGACUUGCCCCCUGACACCCCCGGCAGCCCCUCCCAGCCCCCUGACUGCCCAGCAGAGAGCCCAGCUGGAGCAGGUGUGGCUGAAGGCGCCCAGCGAGGAAGGGAGAGAAGCUGGAGGCACCUGAAUGCUGCCGUUCGGGGGAUGCCACUGACCCUCCUGCACCCCAGUGGGGCUCCCCCUGAAGCCACCCCGUGAAGCACUGCCACAAACAGAUGCCAGGCAGCCCAAAGCAAGACCACACGCUUGGAACGCCGCACGGCUCUUGUGCUCCUUUCCAAGGAUUCCUGGAAACCCGGCUCGGAGAGAGGCCGGCGGGUGCCCCAGCCUGGCUGUGCACCCCCUGCCCCCCGCCC